rnacentral:rRNA from 1 species
UACGGAGGGAGCUAGCGUUGUUCGGAAUUACUGGGCGUAAAGCGCACGUAGGCGGCUUUUUAAGUCAGGGGUGAAAUCCCGGGGCUCAACCCCGGAACUGCCCUUGAAACUGGAGAGCUAGAAUCUUGGAGAGGCGAGUGGAAUUCCGAGUGUAGAGGUGAAAUUCGUAGAUAUUCGGAAGAACACCAGUGGUGAAGGCGACUCGCUGGACAAGUAUUGACGCUGAGGUGCGAAAGCGUGGGGAGCAAACAGG